GCGAGUAUAACUCUCUAAAACCAUUGUGAACCUACCUCACCGUUGCUUCGGCGGGUGGCCCGGGGCAACCCAGGCCGCGCCGGCACCCUUCUUCGGGGGGCCCGGCAAGCCCGUCAGAGGACCGAAACCCUGUAAUUACUGGCCUCUCUGAGUAACUUAUACAAUAAGUCA
rnacentral:misc_RNA from 1 species